AGAAUCAACGCUGGCGGCGUGCCUAACACAUGCAAGUCGCACGAGAAAGGGGAGCAAUCCCUGAGUAAAGUGGCGCACGGGUGAGUAACACGUGACUAACCUACCCUGGAGUGGGGGAUAACUGAGGGAAACCUUAGCUAAUACCGCAUAACACCUACGGGUCAAAGGAGCAAUUCGCUUUGGGAGGGGGUCGCGGCCGAUUAGUUAGUUGGCGGGGUAAUGGCCCACCAAGACAGUGAUCGGUAU
rnacentral:rRNA from 1 species